UUUAGUUCCACAUCGACUGUUUAGUUUCAUUUUGUUAUGUUUAUAUAAUACAGCUACUCACCCUUACUUCGUCCCUUCGGGGACAUCCGAUAAAAUUGGAACGAUACAGAGAAGAUUAGCAUGGCCCCUGCGCAAGGAUGACACGCACAAAUCGAGAAAUGGUACGUGGUGUUCAUCAUACGAGAAAUGGUCCAAAUUUUUUUGACUUUUUUUUUCAAUCUUCUCCGUUAGGGUUUCGUUUUCCACUGUUAUUUUGCGUUUAGGUUUUGUUCGUUUUGUCUUUGAUUUUGCGUUUAGGGUUUUGUUUUCCUUUCAAUGCAGGUACGUGGUGUUCAUCAUACUUGAACCAAAUUUAUACACCAUUGAUGCCUGAAGUAAUAUGCAAGAAAACAUGUUCCGUGCAAGGAAUUGUCAGACCACCCAUUCGAUGAUCAUAUCCGAAUUCUUCCUCUGCUUCACUCAACAAGUUUUGAAAUGAAGGUUGGUUCAAGUAUGAUGUGGGGAUCACAAACCUCUUCAUUUCCUCACCAACGUACACCGCAAGAUACCCCUUUGGCACAUUUGUCACUUUUGAUGAUGUUUGGCUAUUGCUAAAUGAAGCCCGUCUAAUAGCUGCCGGUAAACGGAAACCCAUUUCAAAUGUUUUGAAGAACAACUCUCAAACUUUAAGGAGAAAAAAGGUAUCUAUCUUUUGAUGCUUGAGUAAGUCAGUGAUUUGUGAUGGAUUUGAAGCAAACUAGUGUAUCUUUAUAGUCUUCAUUCAAGAGUUUCUUCAAAUCCACUUUGUUGAGAAAUUAAUUAUUGUUAAACAAUGGGGUCCAUGAGAUGACAGAUCCACAUGGUGUUGUCUUUGAAUGUCUCUUCCAUCAAGUUCCAUUAGAGUGCAUACCUUCUCAACGAAAGGCUGGCAGAUUUACCACUUGGAACUCAAAUGGCUACUCAUAUUUUUGCAGACAUGUCACAUGUUCUCUUCAUAUCGAUAACGCGGUUCAAUGCCACCGAUAAUUUCCCUUGUUAGCGUGUAUCAUAAUUGUUAGUUGGCUACAAAUCAUUAAUAUUAGGAGGCUACAGGGAACACAUAUAGAGGGCAUGGUCGGUCAUUACUCAUGCUGACCAGAAGAGAAGAUAGAUAUCAAUUGAACAACACUUCAAAAGAGAUAAGUAUAUGUUUGGACCCACAACAACUACCAGUAACAAAAAUAUGCUAUUCUGAAUAUUCAAUUUUAAGUCAACAGUCCUCUAUAUAUUUGCAGUCUUUUGAAUAUGUCUAGCAGCAAAUGCUCCGUCCAAUGGUUUGUUUUCUGCAUAUAAGAAUAACUAGCUAGUAGAACCUUAAUUCAUGAAACUCUGUUGUUGCUAAGACUGAUUAACUAGUACGAUAAUGCCCACUGUUUUUUCUAACUCAAGUAUCAUAGCCAUGAAUAAUAAGUGCCAAACUAUCAGAGUUGUUGACUUUUGUAUCAACUGAUAUGAGUUUCUAGCGUCUAGAAUUUCCUAUUGAGAUGGGGUAAUAUUUGAUACUUGAAAUUAAUGUUAUACUACUAUUCUUUUUGUAGAUUAUUCAUAGACUUUUGAUAAUCUUUUGAUUAGGAAUAUACCAAAUGCAGGCAAUUCAUGAUAAUCUUUUGAUUAGGAAUAUACAUAAUAAUAUACACUUUUAUGAAUG